rnacentral:misc_RNA from 1 species
GUAUUUAUUCUUGAUUUUUUUUUUCUCAUAUCUUCACUCUCACCAAGCAAUAAAUAGAGCAUUAUAUCCAUAGGAAGCAUUUGGCAAUAUCUCUGGCACGUGACAUUAUGCUGUAUUUGUUUGUUUUGCAUCAAAUAUAUUUAUAUCUCAUGUUAUUUUUCUUUCCUCUUAGGAAUGGCAACGGGGUGGAUCGGGGAUGGUUUAUGCCAUCUCCGUCCCUGCCUUGUUACUAAUAAAUGCGUCCCCGACCCCUCUCCAUACCCCACUGGGGUAAUAAAAUCGUUACCCAUCCUCGCCUCGUUGAAAAACAAGAUUAUAUAUAUAUAUAUAUA